ensembl:lncRNA
AUGUUCUCCAAAAAAACCUGUGUUGAGAGCAGUGAAGUGACGUGGCUACCUCCUGGCCAGAAGGAGGGGAACGUGAGGAUCCCUGAGGAGCUACUCAGAGUUCACUGCUUCAUUAUGAAGACGACGGAUCAAGAUAGAUAGAUCUACUCCUUAUCCUCUCUUUCUCCCUCGAUGUCUCAAAAAACGCAGAUGAAAUGCUCUGCUAAUAUUUGAAAGAGGAGUGGAGGAAACGCUGAAAUGCCCUGUGACGCUUACACCCAAUAAAGGAGAUAAGAGCAGUCUAAGUAUGAAAUCA